rnacentral:rRNA from 1 species
UACGAAGGGGGCUAGCGUUGUUCGGAAUUACUGGGCGUAAAGCGCACGUAGGCGGAUUGUUAAGUCAGAGGUGAAAUCCCGGAGCUCAACUUCGGAACUGCCUUUGAUACUGGCAAUCUAGAGUCCGGAAGAGGUUAGUGGAAUUCCCAGUGUAGAGGUGAAAUUCGUAGAUAUUCGCAAGAACACCAGUGGCGAAGGCGGCUUACUGGUCCGGUUCUGACGCUGAGGCGCGAAAGCGUGGGGAGCAAACAGG